CACAGCCACACACACACACACACACGCAAUAUAUACAGUAGCCUCACUCGUCACACAUCUCACCCACCCCACCUCACCCUCACCCUCACCCUCACCAAAUCCUCCUCCUCCUCUAGCUAGCAAAGCUCACCACCACCAACAAGCAACAACAACACUCAUCCAUCCAUCCGUCCAUCCGUCACCAGAUCGAGCCAAGAAAGAUCCAAGAAAUUUCCCAAAUUGAGGAUCAAGGGAGAAGAAUUAGGUUUCAACCUCUUCCUCCAUCGAUCCACUCAGGAACCUUAGCUAGCUACCAUACCUUCUUGGUCUCAAGCCACCUCUUGAAGCAGCAAAAGCUUCGAUUAGUUGGAGCAAGCAAUUCCCAUGGAGCUGUUCCCCCGGCAGCCGGACCUGGCGCUGCAGAUCAGCACCAACAGCUCCUCCUCCUCCUCGCCGCCGACCGCACCGCCGGGCAGCUGGGGGCGGCCACCGGACGCCACGACCGGCGCCACCAGCAUGGACCACUUCAGCCACCACCUAGGGUUUCUGCGAGCCACCGACAUCACCAACAAAGACGGCACGCCGCCGUUGGCGUGGACGCCGCCGCCUUCAGCUGCCACGGCCGCCAGCUACUCCAACCACAUCAGCAACCACUACCACCACCGGAUGAACGCCUUGCUCAAGCCUAUAAGAGGGGUCCCCAUCUACCACCACCACCCCUCCUUCCAGCAGCUCCAGCACCAGCACAUGGCCAUGGCCUACCGGAGCAGCGGCGUUGGCGGCGGCGGCGGCUUCUUGUCGUCGAGGUCGAGGUUCCCGCCCGGGCGGCGGAGCGUGAGGGCGCCGAGGAUGCGGUGGACGACCACGCUGCACGCGCGCUUCGUGCACGCCGUCGAGCUCCUAGGGGGCCAUGAGAGAGCCACUCCCAAGUCGGUGCUGGAGCUGAUGGAUGUGAAGGAUCUCACCUUGGCACAUGUCAAGUCUCACUUGCAGAUGUAUCGCACGAUAAAGAGUACCGACAAACCCAUGACUUCCCCAGGACAAAAUGAAGGAUUCGAUAACGGAUCAGCGGGUGAGAUCUCUGAUGAGAGCUUGCCCGAGGCCCUCAACACCCACAGGGGCACAGAUCAAAAUGGAACCAGCGCAAAUUCUCACAGCAGCAGCAGUUACAAUGGUGGUCUGUGGAGUAACUCCUCAAGCAGGGUAGGAUGGCCUGGUUUAGGCACAAAUAGCACUGAAAAUAGAGGACAGUGUCACAAGGAAGCUGAUGCAUCAAAGAGCCUUGAGAUGUCAGCGGAGAUGAACGUGUCAUGCAUCUCCGAUCAAACAUCGAGCCCGCCGGUGCCGAACCUUGAGUUCACCCUAGGGAGGACACACCAUUAAGUAACUAGUUAAACAACAGGUUUCUAGCUAGAUUAAUUAAUUGAUCUAGUGUACUCCAGCAACAAUAGCUAGAUCAAGGUAAAGAGAAAGAUGGAUGAAACAUCUGAUCAAGGCCAAAGGUGAUGAGAUAGAAAGUGAUAAUCAGUCUCCCCUCCAUUAUAUGUGUGUGUUGGGUAGAGAGAGAGAGAGAGAGAGAGAUCUAGGUUGCUAGAGAGAGUGAGAGUGAAGUAUCUGAUCUUGUUCUCCAUGAAUGGUAUGCUUUAUGUAUAAAGUGGUCUUAUGUUGCUUAUUUAAAGUUUGUGCAUGGAGAGAGAUCUAGAGAGAGAGGGG
rnacentral:rRNA from 1 species